rnacentral:rRNA from 1 species
GGGGAUAACACUUGGAAACAGGUGCUAAUACCGCAUAACCAUAGUUACCGCAUGGUAACUAUGUAAAAGGUGGCUAUGCUACCGCUUUUGGAUGGGCCCGCGACGCAUUAGCUAGUUGGUGGGGUAAAGGCUUACCAAGGCAAUGAUGCGUAGCCGAACUGAGAGGUUGAUCGGCCACAUUGGGACUGAGACACGGCCCAAACUCCUACGGGAGGCAGCAGUAGGGAAUCUUCCACAAUGGGCGAAAGCCUGAUGGAGCAACGCCGCGUGGGUGAAGAAGGUCUUCGGAUCGUAAAACCCUGUUGUUAGAGAAGAAAGUGCGUGAGAGUAACUGUUCACGUUUCGACGGUAUCUAACCAGAAAGCCACGGCUAACUACGUGCCAGCAGCCGCGGUAAUACGUAGGUGGCAAGCGUUAUCCGGAUUUAUUGGGCGUAAAGAGAACGCAGGCGGUCUUUUAAGUCUGAUGUGAAAGCCUUCGGCUUAACCGGAGUAGUGCAUUGGAAACUAGGAGACUUGAGUGCAGAAGAGGAGAGUGGAACUCCAUGUGUAGCGGUGAAAUGCGUAGAUAUAUGGAAGAACACCAGUGGCGAAAGCGGCUCUCUGGUCUGUAACUGACGCUGAGGUUCGAAAGCGUGGGUAGCAAACAGGAUUAGAUACCCUGGUAGUCCACGCCGUAAACGAUGAA